rnacentral:rRNA from 1 species
AGCUUGCUUCUUUGCUGACGAGUGGCGGACGGGUGAGUAAUGUCUGGGAAACUGCCUGAUGGAGGGGGAUAACUACUGGAAACGGUAGCUAAUACCGCAUAACGUCGCAAGACCAAAGAGGGGGACCUUCGGGCCUCUUGCCAUCGGAUGUGCCCAGAUGGGAUUAGCUAGUAGGUGGGGUAACGGCUCACCUAGGCGACGAUCCCUAGCUGGUCUGAGAGGAUGACCAGCCACACUGGAACUGAGACACGGUCCAGACUCCUACGGGAGGCAGCAGUGGGGAAUAUUGCACAAUGGGCGCAAGCCUGAUGCAGCCAUGCCGCGUGUAUGAAGAAGGCCUUCGGGUUGUAAAGUACUUUCAGCGGGGAGGAAGGGAGUAAAGUUAAUACCUUUGCUCAUUGACGUUACCCGCAGAAGAAGCACCGGCUAACUCCGUGCCAGCAGCCGCGGUAAUACGGAGGGUGCAAGCGUUAAUCGGAAUUACUGGGCGUAAAGCGCACGCAGGCGGUUUGUUAAGUCAGAUGUGAAAUCCCCGGGCUCAACCUGGGAACUGCAUCUGAUACUGGCAAGCUUGAGUCUCGUAGAGGGGGGUAGAAUUCCAGGUGUAGCGGUGAAAUGCGUAGAGAUCUGGAGGAAUACCGGUGGCGAAGGCGGCCCCCUGGACGAAGACUGACGCUCAGGUGCGAAAGCGUGGGGAGCAAAC